ACACACGCGUGCAUGCACACCUCACGAGCAGAGCCUCUUUCUUCCCUCUUUAGAUGAAAACUGAAGGUGAGGCAGGCUUCAAGUGUGUGGAGUUUUCUCCUCAGGUGGUGAGCCAAGAACGGUGCCUCUCAACCCUAUAGUUCAAAACAGGCAACCCAGCAGUGUGUCAACAGAGGUAGAUGCAUUUGCUCCCUAGGGUGAGAACGACUGGAAGGUUAUAUAGAUGGCACACAGCAUCAGUCAGCAGGGAGAGAAGCAAGGGAUGAAGAUGCGAAACUGAAACAAGGCCACAGGCCCUGAAAAGGAAAGAGAUUCACUCAGAGGAGGAGACCUCAACCUCCAACCUUUUGAAACGUAAGCAGUGGUAGAAGCCUACAUCUCUCCAUGAAGGAUGCAAACAAGUCUGUGCAGAUUUGAAGGCACGGCGUUUUUAAGGCCUCUGGCCAACUGCAACAGCCCAACAGGCCUCAGCUCUCCGCCUAGCCACGUGCUUCCCCGUCUCUGGCAGACUGCGCGUGAGGACUCGCCUUAAAGACAGCGAUGGCAUAGGGGUGUGGGAGGCUGUCAAGGAUGACUGAACGCUGCUGGCCACUGAAAGUGAUGCGCUCGAUACAGUCCAGAUGUGAGACAUCUGGAGACCAUAAGAGAGUCGGAUGCUUUCUAAUGAAACACACAGAGUUAUCGGACCACGACAAGCAAGCUAUGGCUUCAAGAGCCUCAGUCAACAGGUUAUCUCCCCCAUGAUCACCAGAAGCAGAAACCUGGCCUCACAUUUUCACUUUCAUGAGCAUCUCUUACAGCAGUGGGCGUGACGCUGACUCCCCGUAAGGAACACUUACCCUUCUUGGGGUACAAGGACUAAAGCCCUGGGUCGAUCAAGCACAGAGGAAUUGACGAUUGUCAGUCGGAAGUCACCAUCUGGAUUAGCUACCUGACAAAACAAAGGGGGUGGGGGAAGGAGAGAGAUCUAAAUUCCUUACAAAGCCCACAAAACCAAAGCCCUCCAGGGGCCCUGCCUCUGGCACACUCUCCACACCUGCCCUCUACUCCCGGGUCUCAUUCUAGAACCACUGGGGAGCCCGCCUUGAUUCCCAAUCAGAAGGCACUCAUCGUGUCCCUGGCUGAGAUAAUUCCCACGUGGGCCGAAGGAGCAGCUAGAGCUGUGUGCUCUCUGACGCCAACCCCGGAGCAUGACAACUUGCGCAAAGGUGACUGUUGUGGUCCCUUGGAGUCCAAGAACGCUUCAGUGCUUGCAUACAACCCUCACACAGCUUCCUGCCUGUUCUAAGCCACCCCUAGAUCACCUGUAAUUCCCACGACAGUGCUGGUGCUAAGUAGUAGGGACGCCUGCUCACUAGAUAAAUGAUCUACCACCGAGCUGCACUCCCAGGUUCACUUGGGGAUGGAGAGACGGCUCAGCAGUUUAAAGUACUUCCUGCUCUUGCAGAAGAAAGUUCAGUUCUCAGCACCCACAUGGCAGCCAGCCAAGCAUGUGUCGCACAGUUCCAAAGGACACUUCUCUUGGCCUCCCCUGGCACCACGCAUGUACAUGGCACACAGACAGACAGACAUGCUGACAAAGCACCCAUCAUAAUAAAGUAAAAUAAAAAAAAAUAAACCUUUAAAAUGCAUAUAUUUGAACACAGGACUAUACAGUUAGUAUCUAGCCUAUCUAGAGGUCUUUAAAAACUAUAGCCUUAACCUGUUAUGUGUAUGUUUAUGUACGGCUGUGUGUAUGCAAUUAUGUAUAUGUGUGUGUGGCUGUCAUUGUUGUGUGAUUGUUCUAUUUUUGUGUCCUGAUCAUUGAGCCUGGGGCUUUAUGUACACUAGGCAAAUGUUGAUCCACACAGCUUUAUCUGCCCUGAGUAUCUGGGCUGAAUAAAUUCUCCCGUCCUAGCCUCCCGCCAUGCCCAGGCACUUCAUGGUUCUUUUCAGAGUCCAGGAGAGCUAGAGUGGGUAAUUAUGUGGACUGAAGAUAACUGGAAUGUCACUACACUUUGACAGGGAAGGGAAGAGGCUAACAAGGAAGGUGGCAACUGACAAUCACAUUACCAUCCCCAGCAUCUUUCUAGCAGGAAACUAAGACCUUAGAUGCAGUCAAAGAUUCAGAUUUGGGACAUUCUUUAUCUUUCUCAUAAGGAGCAGAGAUAGGCAGGGAAAAAACUGCAACAACAGAAAACUGCAGUUUCGUGUAACAGCCCAGAGAUGGGUUACCAUGUGCAAACCUCUGCCUGCUCACCUUGCUUGAAGCCUGUCAGGACUGGGCAGUCAAAAACCACAGCCUCCAGACUUAACCAAGGGCUUAAGGACUCACCUGGAUGGUGUCCAGCGCCAGGUCAGACCAAUACAAGCAGUUGCGUUCAUAGUCAAAGUCCAGGGCCACAGCCGCCCGCAGCCCCGAGAGAGGAAGCUGCUCUGUGGCUCCCGAGGCCAAGUCGUAGCGGUAGAUGGACUUGCGCAUGGCGUAUAGGAUGAACUCAUUCUCUUCUGCAGACAUAAAGCAAGCAGGAUUGCCAGGGAUGCUGAGGAUGGCCAAGCAGGCCUGGCCUCCAUCCUUCUCACACACAAACCCCAACCCAUAUUGUCACAAGGGUAGAUCAAGUGUCAGAGACUAGGAAUCUAGACUUAGGACACAGAAGAAAAUCACAUGUCUAACCCAGCAAUUGUAUUUCUUUAUGUUUUGUUACACUGUAAAAACAGCAACUAACAACAUUUCAACAUCUAUAUUUCUGAGUUCUGCCUUCAGUCACACCUGUCAACGUAAGUGACAGGCCAGUCACUCCACAUCCUAUCAUGUGACUGCUCCAUCGCGCCAUUACCUUGGUGACUACUUGGGGACUACUAAAGCCUUCCAACCAAGUUCCCCACGCAGGAUGCUCACUCAUACAUUACUAUCCCCAAUGACCUGUGAUGCUUUCGGUCGGCCUGAUAAGUUUCCAAAGCAACAACAUAUGUUGUUGAGCGAUUACAGAACGUCCGACAGAGCAAUUACUGUUCCGUUUCUGCUGAACAAAUGUUUACUUCCUAUGCACCAGGCAUGGUUUAAUCCUCAAAACACCCCUGAGAUAGAAGAAUGAAUAUUAAUUUGCUUAAGGACACACAGCUAGGAAGCAAGUAGCCCAGAUGCAGAGCCCGGGCUUUAGCCUUUAUACCACGCUGCCUUUAACGGUGUGGAUGCUCACGAUGCCACUCUUCAAGGCACAUAGAGGAUCAAAGUGCUUUAGAAUUUUACCUAAUGGUGGACAGCCAGUGAUUUAAGGCCUAACACCCUCUCUUUGUACUUAGAAAAUAGCGCAGAAGUCAUCACGGCUCUUCCUCAGGAGGGCAGAGGAGCAGUGAGCAUCUCUAGCUAUAGCACCCAUGGAACCUCUGGGUAGUGGAACACACAGAGAUGCCUGAGGGUGGCGAGACUCGGAAGGAUGUGCAAGCUGCACGCCCUUCAGCAUCACUUACGCAUCACCGUCUACUGGCUGUUAGUCUGCAUCAUUUGCGAUACCUUGUGUAGCCAGCAGGUUUUAAAAGGAGCCAAUCUAGAUGCUGGGGAGAACAAAACCCACAGUGGUUUCAGAUGCUGCUUCUUGAGUGUGGGCCUGUCCAGAUGUUUGUGACUUGUGUCAUUUCUCCAAAUAGACUAACCAUAAGAAAAACUCUUUAUAAAAAUGUAAAGCAUCUACUGAUGCUAUGCUACAUGUGGGAUCAAGAUGCAAACACAAAUCCUUUGCUUCAUGCUUGAAUUGGUUGCUGCGAUUUUGAUUUUUUUUUUUUUGGUUUGUUUGCUUGUUAUGUUUGUUUUCCCCUAUCUUUCCCUCAUCCUGUUAAUUCACUUAAUUCACAUAUGCAUAUAACCUGCUUUAUAAGAACCUCAAUACUGGGCUGGCAAGAUGACUCAGCAGGUAAAGGUACUUGCUGCCAAGUCUGCAGAACUGUGUUCAAUCUCUAGGAACCUACUCAGUGGAAGAAGAGAAUCAACUCCCAGAAGUUGUCCUCUGACUUCUCCAUCUCCACUCUGCUAUACAAAUGCAGUUCCCUUCCCCCACUCUGACACAUACACACAAAUAAAUGUGAUUUUUUUUAAAAAGUCUCCAAUACUGACAACACAUUGAAAACAAACCCUCUAAGUCAGGGUAGGCAAAACACUUAUUUACUGUGUGGGAUGUUCUGGACCUCGUCCCUAGCAUGGCUCCUUGAAAGCUUUAAAUAAUAAAUCUGUAAAAAUCUUAAA